rnacentral:rRNA from 1 species
UACGUAGGUGGCAAGCGUUGUCCGGAUUUACUGGGCGUAAAGAGCGCGCAGGCGGUCGUUCAAGUCGCGUGUGAAAGCCCCCGGCUCAACUGGGGAGGGUCACGCGAUACUGAUCGACUGGAAGGCAGGAGAGGGUAGUGGAAUUCCCGGUGUAGUGGUGAAAUGCGUAGAUAUCGGGAGGAACACCAGUGGCGAAGGCGACUACCUGGCCUGUUCUUGACGCUGAGGCGCGAAAGCUAGGGGA